UUGGCGGACGGGUGAGUAACGCGUGGAAAACCUGCCGUAUACUGGGGGAUAACACUUAGAAAUAGGUGCUAAUACCGCAUAAGCGCACGGCUUCGCAUGAAGCGGUGUGAAAAACUCUGGUGGUAUACGAUGGUUCCGCGUCUGAUUAGCUAGUUGGUGGGGUAAUGGCCUACCAAGGCAACGAUCAGUAGCCGGCCUGAGAGGGUGAACGGCCACAUUGGGACUGAGACACGGCCCAAACUCCUACGGAAGGCAGCAG
rnacentral:rRNA from 1 species